rnacentral:misc_RNA from 1 species
GAUGAAGAACGUAGCGAAAUGCGAUAACUAAUGUGAAUUGCAGAAUUCAGUGAAUCAUCGAGUCUUUGAACGCACAUUGCGCCCCCUGGUAUUCCGGGGGGCAUGCCUGUCCGAGCGUCAUUGCUGCCCUCAAGCACGGCUUGUGUGUUGGGCUCCGUCCCCCCGGGGACGGGCCCGAAAGGCAGCGGCGGCACCGAGUCCGGUCCUCGAGCGUAUGGGGCUUUGUCACCCGCUCUGUAGGCCCGGCCGGCGCCAGCCGACAACCCAUCAUCCUUUUCAGGUUGACCUCGGAUCAGGUAGGGAUACCCGCUGAACUUAAGCAUAUCAAUAAGCGGAGG